UACGUAGGGUGCGAGCGUUGUCCGGAAUUAUUGGGCGUAAAGGGCUCGUAGGCGGUUUGUCGCGUCGGGAGUGAAAACCUCGGGCUUAACUCGGGGCUUGCUUUCGAUACGGGCAGACUAGAGGUAUGCAGGGGAGAACGGAAUUCCUGGUGUAGCGGUGAAAUGCGCAGAUAUCUGGAGGAAUACCGGUGGCGAAGGCGGCAUCCUGGACCGGCAUUGACGCUGAGGAGCGAAAGCCAGGGGAGCAAACGGG
rnacentral:rRNA from 1 species